UCUGUGAAGGGCCCUUCCAACCAAACUACCUACCCUACCCUACCCUACCCCACCCUACCCUACCCUACCCUACCCCUAUUCUGCUUUCCUCUACUUCUAUUCUGUUCUGUUCUGUUCUGUUCUGUUCUAUUCUAUUCUAUUCUAUUCUAUUCUAUUCUAUUCUAUUCUAUUCUGCUCUGCUCUGCUCUGCUCUGCUCUGCUCUGCUCUGCUCUUACUCUUACUCUACUCUUACUCUUACUCUAUUCUACUCUACUCUUACUCUUACUCUACUCUUACUGUACUCUUACUCUAUUCUAUUCUACUCUACUCUACUCUUACUCUUACUCUUACUCUACUCUUAUUCUAUUCUAUUCUGUUCUGUUCUACUCUACUCUACACUUACUCUUAGUCUUACUCUUACUCUACUCUUACUCUACUCUAUUCUAUUCUACUCUACUCUUACUCUUACUCUACUCUACUCUUACUCUUACUCUACUCUUACUCCUAUUCUACUCUACUCUACUCUUACUCUUACUCUUACUCUUACUCUUACUCUUACUCUUACUCUAUUAUAUUCUACUCUUAGUCUUACUCUUACUCCACUCUUACUCUAUUCUAUUCUAUUCUAUUCUAUUCUAUUCUAUUCUAUUCUAUUCUAUUCUAUUCUAUUCUAUUCUAUUCUAUUCUAUUCUAUUCUAUUCUAUUCUAUUCUAUUUCUAUUUCUAUUCUAUCCCACCCCGUCCCGUCCCGUCCCGCUGCCGGUUCCCCGCCCACCCCGCGGCUCCCCGCGGCCAUCCGUGGUUGCGCGUUGCCCUCUGCCGGCCGCCGGCGGCCGCUCGCCUCCCGGUGCGACGUCACGCUGCUGUGACGUCAUAGGUGAGGCUGGGACACCGAGAGAAGGGCGAGGGGCGGCUGGAGGGGCGAGGACCCCCUCAUCCCCCCCGCAAUGCCUCUGUGCCCAGCUGGAGUCACUGGGCGUACGCUGGAUGUGGUGGCGGUGCUGCACCAGCACGUUCUCCUCGUGUAGCUGCGUACGGCAAACCUCAAAUUAUCACAUCCUGACAUCUUUGGUUUCUCCCACUGGCUGGAGUUUGCCAUUAUCAGAGCGACGUGGAGCAAAUGAAGCCGGUGGGGAACGCGUUUCUUGGCUCACGCCCAAGGAAGGUCGGAUCUUUAGAUUUCACCCCUGA
rnacentral:lncRNA from 1 species